rnacentral:rRNA from 1 species
AACGAACGCUGGCAGAAUGCUUAACACAUGCAGGUCGAACGUGAAAGUCCUUCGGGAUGAGUAAAGUGGCGCACGGGUGAGUAACACGUAGGUGACCUGCCGUUUAGAGGGGGAUAACCAGAAGAAAUUUUGGCUAAUACCGCAUACGAAGAACAAAUUUAAAAAUAGUUCUUGAAAGGAUGCCUCUGUAUAUGCAUCUACUAAACGAUGGGCCUGCGGUACAUUAGCUAGUUGGUGGGGUAAUGGCCUACCAAGGCGACGAUGUAUAACGGAUCUGAGAGGAUGAUCCGUCACACUGGAACUGAGACACGGUCCAGACCCCUACGGGAGGCAGCAGUGGGGAAUAUUGGACAAUGGGCGAAAGCCUGAUCCAGCAAUUCUGCGUGAGUGAGGAAGGACUUCGGUCUGUAAAGCUCUGUUAAUGUGGAAAAAUGGUAGUUGGUCUAAUAGGCCGAUUAUUUGAUGGUACACAUAGAGGAAGCACCGGCUAACUUCGUGCCAGCAGCCGCAGUAA